rnacentral:rRNA from 1 species
CCUACGGGAGGCAGCAGUGAGGAAUAUUGGUCAAUGGACGAGAGUCUGAACCAGCCAAGUAGCGUGAAGGAUGACUGCCCUAUGGGUUGUAAACUUCUUUUAUAUGGGAAUAAAAUGUUCCACGUGUGGGAUUUUGUAUGUACCAUAUGAAUAAGGAUCGGCUAACUCCGUGCCAGCAGCCGCGGUACUACGGAGGAUCCGAGCGUUAUCCGGAUUUAUUGGGUUUAAAGGGAGCGUAGGUGGAUUGUUAAGUCAGUUGUGAAAGUUUGGGGCUCAACCGUAAAAUUGCAGUUGAAACUGGCAGUCUUGAGUACAGUAGAGGUGGGCGGAAUUCGUGGUGUAGCGGUGAAAUGCUUAGAUAUCACGAAGAACUCCGAUUGCGAAGGCAGUUCACUGGACUGCAACUGACACUGAGGCUCGAAAGUGUGGGUAUCAAACAGGAUUAGAUACCCUUGUAGUC